UGCAUAGGAUUUCUUUGUUUAGCAUAUAUUAAGAGAAUGAAGUGGAAGAAAAACAAAAAAAAUGAGAUGUUGGUACAUAGCAUAGCAAUGAGAUAACAUAGUAGUUUUGAUGAUUGCAAGGUCAAAGAAAUAGCAUCUGUAUAAAAUGGGAAAGCAAGAAAAACACAGGAAAAGGGGAAAGGGAGAGAGUGUCUGUUAUUAACUUCUCAACCCACCAUUCCGCGUCUCCCUCCUUUUCUAAUUUUGAUAUUCAAAUUUUCCAUUCAUUUCUGACCCUUCAAUUCGUUUGUGUCUUUUUAGGGUUUGUCUCUCGGAUCACCCGCUCUUAAAAUUCUCAUCUUUUUUUCCAUUUACAUUUUUUUUCUUGCCAUGCUGACGGGUGAUGGCCCAGACUUUCUGCACUUAUUUUCAUUUUUACAAACCGUCAGCAAUGAGCAUGUCACGAAAAGAUUGAAUUGGAUUGGAUUGUGAAUUCUGAGUUGUCUUUUUCUUUUUUCCCUGGCAGAAUCAAUAUUGUUUAUACAUGUUUCUGUCAGAUUGUUGGGUUGAUUUUCCCGCUGGUCAUGCGUUUGAUCAAUUCGGUUCUGGGGUUUUCCAAUCCAAUUUGUUGCUUUUGGUGCUUGAUUAUGAAUAACCUUCUCCUUCUGCAUGCACUGCAUUUCCCUUUUGAAAGGAUUUUCUGGGUCGCGGUCUGCUGAAAGAAAAAAGUUGACUUUUUUGCCCAAAGAUUGUUGGUAUAAGAACAAAAUGAAACUCGUGGUUCGUGUGAUUGAGGCAAAAAACUUGGCAUUGACGGAUGCCAAUGGGUUGAAUGAUCUGUACGUGCGGUUACAGUUGGGGAAACAGAAGUUCAAGACCAAAGUGGUGAAAAGUUUGAACCCAAUGUGGGAUGAACAAUUUACAUUUUGGGUCGACGACCUUAAAGAUUCGCUUAUUGUCUCUGUGAUGGAUGAGGACAAGUUCUUUAAUUAUGACUACGUGGGACGGCUUAAGGUGCCUAUCUCACUUGUUUUUGAAGAGGAAAUUAAAUCCCUUGGCACUGCUUGGUAUUCAUUGAAAUCCAAAAACAAGAAGUGCAAGAACAAGCCAUUUGGUGAGAUUCAUUUGAGUAUAUUCAUUUCCCAAAAUGGAUCUGGGGAGUCUAAUGACAUCGGUGAUCAGUUGGUACCUCCAAGAAAAUGUCCUGAUGCAAUGACCAAUUCUCCUUCAUUGUCUUCUGCCAGCUUUUCAAACUUGUCUUCUCCUGUAAGGGAAGAAACCGCAUCUUCCAGUUCUAAGGAGGACAAAACUUGUCUGCAUCAAAAAUCGUUUGCUGGCCGAAUUGCUCAAAUUUUUAACAAAGGCACUGAUGUGGCUUCAAUGUCACCCAGCAGAAGUAUUGACUCAGACCAAUCCGAAAUAGGCAAAGUUGAAGUUGGUGGUGAAAUCAAGAUUGAAGAGGAUCAACCCCCAGUUGAGACUUUCGAAGAAAUUAUGAAAAAAAUACAGUCUGCAGAUCAAGGAAGUGAAAUUCCUACCAAUUUAUCAGGAGGAGUUCUUAUUGAUCAAUUAUACAUAGUUGCACCAGGAGACUUGAAUACAUUACUAUUUUCACCUGAUUCUACUUUUCCCAAGACACUGGCAGAGAUACAGGGUACUACAGAACUGCAAGUUGGUCCUUGGAAGAUUGAGAAUUGUGGGGAGACCCCAAAAAGAUCGCUUUCUUACCUAAAGGCACCCACUAAAUUAAUCAAGGCUGUGAAAGGCUACGAGGACCAGACAUAUUUAAAGGCUGAUGGGAAGAACUUUGCCGUUUUCUGCAUUGUCAGCACUCCAGAUGUUAUGUACGGAAGCACCUUUAAGGUAGAAUUACUUUAUGUAAUCACAACUGGACCGGAGUUGCCAUCAGGGGAACAGUGUUCACGUCUGGUGAUAUCUUGGCGAAUGAACUUUGUACAGAGCACCAUGAUGAAAGGAAUGAUAGAAAGCGGAGCUCGGCAAGGUAUGAGGGAAAGCUUUGAUCAGUAUGCUAUUUUGUUAUGUCAGACUGUAAAGGCUGUUGUCUCAAAGGACCUUGGUUCUAGUAAGGAACAGGCUUUGGCAACAUUACGACCAGAACCUCAGUCAGACUGGAGGCUGGCACUGCAGUAUUUAGCUAACUUCCAAGUCUUCUUAGUAUUCUUAAUGGUCAUGUCCGUGUUUGCGCAUAUGUGGCUGGCAUCUCCUAGGCUAAUUCAUGGGCUUGAAUUUGUUUGGCUUGACCUACCAGAUUCUAUUGGGGAAUUUGUUGUAUGUGUUAUCUUGGUUCUUCAAGGUGAAAAAGUAAUCGGUCUAAUCUCACGCUUCGUGCAAGCCAGAGCACGAAAGGGUAGUGAUCAUGGCAUUAAAGCAAAUGGAGAAGGAUGGAUGCUAACUGUGGCCAUAAUAGAAGGAAGCAAUUUAGCUACUGCUGAAUCCAAGGCAUUUUGUGAUCCAUAUGUGGUGUUUACUUGCAACGGAAAAACAAGAACCAGCUCAAUCAAGUUCAAGAAAUCUAGUCCUUUAUGGAAUGAAAUAUUUGAAUUUGAUGCAAUGGAUGAUCCUCCUUCCGUGCUGGAUGUGGAUGUUUAUGAUUUUGAUGGACCUUUUGAUGAAGUUACAUCUCUAGGACAUGUUGAAAUCAAUUUUCUUAAAACAAACAUCUCAGAUCUUGCUGAUAUAUGGGUUUCCCUUGAAGGAAAGUUGGCUCAGGCAAGUCAGUCUAAAUUGCACUUAAGAAUUUUCUUGAACAACACUAGACGCGGGGAUGUUGUAAAACACUAUAUAAGUAAAAUGGAGAAAGAGGUGGGGAAGAAGAUUAAUUUGCGGUCUCCUCAAACAAAUUCAGCCUUUCAGAAACUCUUUGGGCUUCCACCUGAGGAAUUUCUCAUCAAUGACUUCACCUGUCAUUUGAAAAGAAAAAUGCCCCUACAGGGUCGACUGUUUGUUUCAGCAAGAAUAAUUGGUUUCCAUGCAAAUUUGUUUGGACACAAGACAAAAUUCUUCUUGCUCUGGGAGGACAUUGAAGACAUUCAGGUUAUUCCUCCUACAUUUUCAUCGAUGGGAAGUCCAAUAAUUGUCGUAACUCUUUGGCCAGGAAGAGGUGUGGAUGCAAAGCAUGGUGCAAAAACACAAGAUGAAGAUGGCAGACUGAAGUUCCGGUUCCAAUCCUUUGUGUCUUUCAAUGUUGCAAACAGGACUAUCAUGGCUCUCUGGAAGGCCAGAUCCUUGAGUCCUGAGCAGAAGGUUCAGUUAGUAGAAGAAGAAUCUGAAACUAAAAGCCUUAGAAAUGAUGAGAAUGGGUCAUUCAUCGGUCUUGGUGAUGUCAGCAUGUCCGAGGCUCAUUCUGGUGCACUUUCUGUUCCUGCCAGUUUUCUGAUGGAGCUAUUUAGUGGGGGUGAGUUGGACCGAAUGUUCAUGGAAAAAUCUGGCUGUGCUAAUUAUUCUUAUACCCCUUGGGUAUCUGAAAACAAUGAUGUAUAUGAGAGGGCAGUGUAUUAUAAGUUUGAGAAGCGUAUUUCACGUUAUAGAGUUGAAGUAACGAGCACUCAGCAGAAAUCUACUUUGGAAGGAGGAAAGGGUUGGCUGUUGCAAGAGGUUAUGAACUUCCAUGGAGUUCCCCUUGGUGAUUAUUUCAAUUUGCACAUUCGCUAUCAAAUUGAGGAAUUGACUCCAAAGGCAUGUAAAGUACAGGUAUUGUUUGGAACUGAAUGGCUGAAAAGUACAAAACAUCAGAAAAGGAUUUCAAAGAACAUCCUAAAAAAUCUGCAAGAACGCAUAAAGGUGACAUUCAGUCUAGUUGAGAAGGAGUUUUUGGCUAAAUAACGAAUGAAUCUUCACAUGGAAUUUAACCUCUUACAAUUAGGAAAGGUAACUGAUAUUCUCACAGCACCAUUACAAUAUAGAUUCUUGUAUAUAUGAUUCUGGGCAAUCCUUAACAUUUCUUCCAAGAAAAAACAGUUCCUCCGCACAUUCUAUGAUUUUCUUGGAAUAAUAAUAACCUUGAAUAUCAUUCAACAAAACUUCGGAUUGCCCAGUGUUUCACCAAUUAAUAAAACCAAACUAUCAGACUACACGCUCCUUUCAGAAAAAAUAUUUCUCCAUUCUUCGGCUUGAACUAGGAUAUAUGAUGGCUUUAGAAAAUGAUGCUGAUUUGCUACCAAAAUUUGUUCUUCAUACCAGACUACUGUUGGGAGAUAUUACUAACUGGUUUGUCGGAAAUGGCUAAUUAGACUCUGCGAAACAUACUCAGAUUGCAUCAGCGGUUGCUACCAGUUCAAAAUUUGGUUUGCUGUGAAAUGUCACUAUUUAGAUGAUAACUUGGCAUCUAUCAUGUGUCAUGGUUACUGUUGUUUGCUUCCAAAGUAUAGGUGACAAAAUAAUUAGUCAGUGAUUGUAAGAAAUAGUUUGACUGCUAUAAUAUUCUGGUGCUCGAGUAUAUAUUUUUUUUCACUUUCCCU